GUCGAAAAAAUGUUGUUUAUAACAAUGGUCAGGUCAAGUUGGUAACACACCUUGUUUCAUUCGUAUGAAUUCAAUCGGUUCCCUCAAUUCUCCUUUCGAAAUUUGUAUGGUGAUGUCUGAACAAUCGGCGACCCAAAACAGAAUUGACAGCGAUUUGGCUCAUAGAAACCUAAAUAAAGAAUAAAAAAAACAAACGACGAAAAACCACACAUCGGGGGCGACAACAUAAUCUCCUUCUGCUAAAUGUACCCUUCACACGUCAUGCCGAAUU
rnacentral:lncRNA from 1 species